rnacentral:rRNA from 1 species
GACGAACGCUGGCGGCGUGCUUAACACAUGCAAGUCGAACGGAAAGGCCCUGCUUUUGUGGGGUGCUCGAUUGGCGAACGGGGGAGUAACACGUGAGUAACCUGCCCUUGUCUUUGGGAUAACUUCAGGAAACUGGGGCUAAUACCGGAUAGGAGCUCCUGAUGCAUGGGGGGGGUUGGAAAGUUUCGGCGGUUGGGGCUGGACUAGCGGCUUAUCCGCUUGUUGGUGAGGUAGUGGCGGACCAAGGCUUUGACGGGUAGCCGGCCUGAGAGGGUAAACGGCGUCAUGGGGACUGAGAUAGGGCCCAGAAUGCUAUGGGCGGCAGCAGUCGAGAGUAUUGCACAAUGGGGGGAAGCGAGAUGCAGCAGUGCCGCGUGCGGGAUGACGGCCUUCGGGGGGUAAACCGCUUUGGCCUGUGACGAAGCGUGAGUGACGGUAAUGGGUAAAGAAGCAACGGCUAACUACGUG